rnacentral:rRNA from 1 species
UGGGGAAUUUUGGACAAUGGGCGAAAGCCUGAUCCAGCAAUGCCGCGUGUGUGAAGAAGGCCUUCGGGUUGUAAAGCACUUUUGUCCGGAAAGAAAUCCUUGGCUCUAAUACAGUCGGGGGAUGACGGUACCGGAAGAAUAAGCACCGGCUAACUACGUGCCAGCAGCCGCGGUAAUACGUAGGGUGCAAGCGUUAAUCGGAAUUACUGGGCGUAAAGCGUGCGCAGGCGGUUUGCUAAGACCGAUGUGAAAUCCCCGGGCUCAACCUGGGAACUGCAUUGGUGACUGGCAGGCUAGAGUAUGGCAGAGGGGGGUAGAAUUCCACGUGUAGCAGUGAAACGCGUAGAGAUGUGGAGGAAUACCGAUGGCGAAGGCAGCCCCCUGGGCCAAUACUGACGCUCAUGCACGAAAGCGUGGGGAGCAAACAGGAUUAGAUACCCUGGUAGUCCACGCCCUAAACGAUGUCAACUAGUUGUUGGGGAUUCAUUUCCUUAGUAACGUAGCUAACGCGUGAAGUUGACCGCCUGGGGAGUACGGUCGCAAGAUUAAAACUCAAAGGAAUUGACGGGGUCAUAGCUGUUUCCU